UUUUUUUCAGUGUAGCAUUUGAUACAUUACUAUUAUUUAAAUACUAAGAUAAACUCAAACGUUCGUUAUUUAAAAAAGUAUUUUUAAAAAUUUUUUCUAUGAGAAAAGAUCUUUGAAAGUCAAAGAUGUUGACGAAAAAUUCAACUAAAUAACUACGUAUUAAUACCGGCUCUUUUAAAAUGUUCUACCUGUCAACAAACACGAUGACGCAAUUAUAUAUUGCGUGAAUAUGGGAACAAAUAAAAUGAACAUAAAAUUUGACAGUCUAAUAAAAAUGAUUUUAUAAAUUUUUUUAAUCCGAAAAAAUGGGUAUAACUACCAUCUUGGGAUGGAUUUGGCAUUGUUUCUCGUGGACUCUUGUUAAAAUCUUUAAUUUAGCUGGAUACAUAAUUGCAUUUUCUCUAUUUACAAUUUUAUUUUUCUUCGUAUUACCAAUGCUUAUUUUUCUGGCUCUAUGGAAACUUGGACUUCUUUGGGAUACUAACAGCGUUCCGAGUGGUAGUGAAAGGCGAAAUUGAUCUUCAAUGUUUUCACUUCUUGAUUACCUUGUACUCAAGGUAAUCCAACAGGCUACAAAGAAGUAAAUUAAAAAAAAAAUUAUUCGUAUUUUAUAUUUAAAAAAUAUAUGUAUUUUUGUACACGGUAUCACAAUUAUUUUUUUGAGUAAAAAUAAUUCAAUCCAUAA